GGUGGGAAUAAUGAUAGAGGAACCUCAGAAUGUCCAACCCAAACGGUCAAGAAGCACGAAAAGAGAACGAAAGGAAACAGUCAGCUCGGUGCUAAGGAACGGCUGUGAUGUGUAAAAAUGUUUGAUGGCCAACAAACCCUGAUCCUUGUUCUGUUUUUACCCUUACGAAACAGCAAACAACAGUCACAGCGACGUCCCACCGGCCCUUUUGAGGAGUCCAGCGUAAUGCCCCCAUCUGAUGGAAGUUGGAACCACCAAUUACUUGAUGCCAUGUUUUCUUUGGGAGCGUGUUUUCGAAGCCAAGCAUGUUCUUUUCACCUCUCUGAUUCGCCCCCCACCGUCGUAACGGCC
rnacentral:lncRNA from 1 species